rnacentral:rRNA from 1 species
CCCGCACAAGCAGCGGAGCAUGUGGUUUAAUUCGAAGCAACGCGAAGAACCUUACCUAGACUUGACAUCUCCUGAAUUACCCGUAACUGGGGAAGCUCUUCGGAGCAGGAAGACAGGUGGUGCAUGGUUGUCGUCAGCUCGUGUCGUGAGAUGUUGGGUUAAGUCCCGCAACGAGCGCAACCUUAUCGUUAGUUGCUACCAUUAAGUUGAGCACUCUAGCGAGACUGCCCGGGUUAACCGGGAGGAAGGUGGGGAUGACGUCAAAUCAUCAUGCCCCUUAUGUCUAGGGCUACACACGUGCUACAAUGGUGAGGACAAAGAGACGCAAGACCGCGAGGUGGAGCAAAUCUCACAAACCUCAUCCCAGUUCGGAUUGCAGGCUGAAACUCGCCUGCAUGAAGCCGGAGUUGCUAGUAAUCGCGAAUCAGCAUGUCGCGGUGAAUACGUUCCCGGGCCUU